rnacentral:misc_RNA from 1 species
GGAGGAAUAUGAUGCUACUUCCCUAGCUUCAAAGUUUCAUGGUGUAUCUGCUACGAUUUUAAUUGAUCAGGGAGAGGAUGACAAGUUCUUGCAUGAUCAGUUGUUGCCUGAUAACUUUGAGGAGGCAUGCAGAAGUGCUAAUGUUCCACUUCUAUUGCGAAUUCAACCUGGUUAUGAGCACUCCUACCAUUUCGUUUCCACUUUCAUUGAUGAUCAUGUCAGCCACCAUGCUCAAGCUCUUAAUCUGUAAUUCACUCUGGUAAACUAUGGGUAAUGCAACAAGUGGGUGUGCUAAUGUGGCUCCAAUGCUAUGGUGAUCCUUAAAUAAAGCUUGCUUGAUUUCCCCAGGGUUCACCAAAAAUGGGGGAAAAUGUAUAUAUUUUCCUCUUCUUUUGAAAACUGACAACACUUUGUUUCCUUAUCAUUCACUUGAUACCUGUUCUGGGGACCUUGGUGUUGCUUUCUAUAUGCAUUUAGUGUCCAUGCCCAAUGAUAAUGGUGGUGGUGGUGGUGGCAGGGGAAGAAAGUUUGGGCUUUUUUGAACUGGGGACGGUGGAAUCACAGUGGUCACCGUUGAGGGUAUGGUUUUGGAGGUUGUGGGUAGCCAUAAGAGUGGUGAUUAGGGGGCGGAGAAGAGAGGAAAGGGCAUACAGCAGCAGAAGGAAGCUAGUGGUGGUGGAGGAGGAAAGGAUGAAGAUGCUUUUGAACAAAAAUAAUGGGCAAAUUGGCGCACUAGAAAAUAAAAUAGUAUCAAAAAAAAAUAUAUAUCUUGAAUUUAAGCAAGUAAAAUUUAUAUCUUUGUUAAUAAUUUACCAAAACAGAAUGGCUUGAGGAGAAAAGAUAUGGACAUGUGUGUCACUCCCGCCAUUUCCUCUUCUU